rnacentral:rRNA from 1 species
UACGCAGGCGGAUAUACAAGUCAACUGUGAAAUGUACCGGCUUAACCGGUAAGGUGCAUUUGAAACUGUAUAUCUUGAGUCUAGGAGAGGAGAGCGGAAUUCCUGGUGUAGCGGUGGAAUGCGUAAAUAUCAGGAAGAACACCAGUGGCGAAGGCGGCUCUCUGGCCUAAGACUGACGCUCAUGUACGAAAGCUGGGGGGAGCGAACGG